UGGGGAAUAUUGGACAAUGGGCGAAAGCCUGAUCCAGCAACGCCGCGUGAGGGAUGACGGCCUUCGGGUUGUAAACCUCUUUCAGUAGGGACGAAGCGAAAGUGACGGUACCUACAGAAGAAGGACCGGCCAACUACGUGCCAGCAGCCGCGGUAAUACGUAGGGUCCGAGCGUUGUCCGGAAUUAUUGGGCGUAAAGGGCUCGUAGGCGGUCCGUCACGUCGGGAGUGAAAACUCAGGGCUCAACCCUGAGCGUGCUUCCGAUACGGGCGGACUAGAGGUAUGCAGGGGAGAACGGAAUUCCUGGUGUAGCGGUGGAAUGCGCAGAUAUCAGGAGGAACACCGGUGGCGAAGGCGGUUCUCUGGGCAUUACCUGACGCUGAGGAGCGAAAGCAUGGGGAGCGAACA
rnacentral:rRNA from 1 species